rnacentral:rRNA from 1 species
GCUACAGGCUUAACACAUGCAAGUCGAGGGGCAUCAGGAAGAAAGCUUGCUUUCUUUGCUGGCGACCGGCGCACGGGUGAGUAACACGUAUCCAACCUGCCCUUUACUCGGGGAUAGCCUUUCGAAAGAAAGAUUAAUACCCGAUAGCAUAAUGAUUCCGCAUGGUUUCAUUAUUAAAGGAUUCCGGUAAAGGAUGGGGAUGCGUUCCAUUAGGUUGUUGGUGAGGUAACGGCCCACCAAGCCUUCGAUGGAUAGGGGUUCUGAGAGGAAGGUCCCCCACAUUGGAACUGAGACACGGUCCAAACUCCUACGGGAGGCAGCAGUGAGGAAUAUUGGUCAAUGGGCGCUAGCCUGAACCAGCCAAGUAGCGUGAAGGAUGAAGGCUCUAUGGGUCGUAAACUUCUUUUAUAUAAGAAUAAAGUGCAGUAUGUAUACUGUUUUGUAUGUAUUAUAUGAAUAAGGAUCGGCUAACUCCGUGCCAGCAGCCGCGGUAAUACGGAGGAUCCGAGCGUUAUCCGGAUUUAUUGGGUUUAAAGGGAGCGUAGGUGGACUGGUAAGUCAGUUGUGAAAGUUUGCGGCUCAACCGUAAAAUUGCAGUUGAUACUGUCAGUCUUGAGUACAGUAGAGGUGGGCGGAAUUCGUGGUGUAGCGGUGAAAUGCUUAGAUAUCACGAAGAACUCCGAUUGCGAAGGCAGCUCACUGGACUGCAACUGACACUGAUGCUCGAAAGUGUGGGUAUCAAACAGGAUUAGAUACCCUGGUAGUCCACACAGUAAACGAUGAAUACUCGCUGUUUGCGAUAUACAGUAAGCGGCCAAGCGAAAGCAUUAAGUAUUCCACCUGGGGAGUACGCCGGCAACGGUGAAACUCAAAGGAAUUGACGGGGGCCCGCACAAGCGGAGGAACAUGUGGUUUAAUUCGAUGAUACGCGAGGAACCUUACCCGGGCUUAAAUUGCAGUGGAAUGAUGUGGAAACAUGUCAGUGAGCAAUCACCGCUGUGAAGGUGCUGCAUGGUUGUCGUCAGCUCGUGCCGUGAGGUGUCGGCUUAAGUGCCAUAACGAGCGCAACCCUUAUCUUUAGUUACUAACAGGUUAUGCUGAGGACUCUAGAGAGACUGCCGUCGUAAGAUGUGAGGAAGGUGGGGAUGACGUCAAAUCAGCACGGCCCUUACGUCCGGGGCUACACACGUGUUACAAUGGGGGGUACAGAAGGCAGCUAGCGGGUGACCGUAUGCUAAUCCCAAAAUCCUCUCUCAGUUCGGAUCGAAGUCUGCAACCCGACUUCGUGAAGCUGGAUUCGCUAGUAAUCGCGCAUCAGCCACGGCGCGGUGAAUACGUUCCCGGGCCUUGUACACACCGCCCGUCAAGCCAUGGGAGCCGGGGGUACCUGAAGUACGUAACCGCAAGGAUCGUCCUAGGGUAAAACUGGUGACUGGGGCUAAG